rnacentral:rRNA from 1 species
AUUGAACGCUGGCGGCAUGCCUUACACAUGCAAGUCGAACGGCAGCACGGGAGCAAUCCUGGUGGCGAGUGGCGAACGGGUGAGUAAUAUAUCGGAACGUGCCCAGUCGUGGGGGAUAACGUAGCGAAAGCUACGCUAAUACCGCAUACGAUCUAUGGAUGAAAGCGGGGGAUCGCAAGACCUCGCGCGAUUGGAGCGGCCGAUAUCAGAUUAGGUAGUUGGUGAGGUAAAGGCUCACCAAGCCGACGAUCUGUAGCUGGUCUGAGAGGACGACCAGCCACACUGGGACUGAGACACGGCCCAGACUCCUACGGGAGGCAGCAGUGGGGAAUUUUUGGGACAAUGGGCGCAAGCCUGAUCCAGCAAUGCCGCGUGCAGGAUGAGGGCCUUCGGUUGUAACGUAGCUUUGUUACGGUAAC